rnacentral:lncRNA from 10 species
UGCCUCUCCUCCCCAGAGCUGAAGCCACAUGUAUUAGUCCUUUCUCACACUGCCAUAAAUAACUACCUGAGGCUGGGUAAUUUAUGAAGAAAAGAGGUUUAAUCAACUCAAGUUCCACAGAUUUGACAGGAAGCAUGGCUGGGAGGCCUCAAGAAACUACUUACAAUCAUGGCAGAAGGUGAAAGGGAAGCAGGUACAUCUUACCAUGGCAGAGCAGGAGAGAGAGAGAGCACGAAGCGGGUAGUGCCACGCACUUUUAAACCAUCAGAUCUUGUGAGAACUCACAUAUUAUCACAAGAACAGCAAGGGGGAAACUGCCCCUAUGAUACAAUCACCUCCCACCAGGUCUUUCCCCCAACACCGGGGAUUACAAUUCAACAUGAAAUUUGGGUGGGGACACAGAGUUAAACCACAUCAUUCUGCCCCUGGCCCCUCCCAAAUCUCAUAUCCUUCUCACAUUUCAAAACCAAUCAGGCCUUCCUAAGAGUCUUCCAAAGUCUUCACUCAUUCCAGCAUCAACUCAAAAGUCCAAGUCCAAAGUCUCAUCAGAGACAAGGCCAGUCCUAUCCGUCUAUGAGACCGUAAAAUCAAAAACAAGUUAGUUACUUCCAAGAUAAAAUGGGGGUACAGGCAUUGGGUAAAUGCACCCAUUCCAAAUGGGAGAAGUUGGCCAAAACAAAGGGGCUACAGGCCCCAUGCAAUUUUGAAACCCAUCAGUACAGUCAUUAAAUCUUUUUUUUUUUUUUCCGAGGCAAAGUCUGGCUCCGUCACCUAUGAUGGGUCACGAGAUGAGGCUUCCUCUGAGAGCCCCUGUUGCUGCCUCCUGGAGACCUGUUACUGUCGGUUGGAGCCCCCAGUUGCCCCAUGAAUAGCUUCCACCUCUCAUCAGUAAGCACAGUUUCAGAGACUGAUCAGCUGGCCUUCCACUCUGGGACAUUUGUUGAAUUUUUGGCCACCCAGCCUUGACCCCACUUCCUGAGUUUGGGACCACCCCAUUCAACAUGGUGAGAGGCAAAGUCAGC